UAAAGAACCUACCUUAUAGACAGGGACAACUAUUGGAAACGAUAGCUAAUACCUGAUAAGAAAGAAACUCGCAUGAGAGAAGUUCGAAAGUCGGAGCAAUCUGACACUAUAAGAUGGCUUUGCGGUGCAUUAGCUAGUUGGUAGGGUAAAAGCCUACCAAGGCGACGAUGCAUAGCCGACCUGAGAGGGUGAUCGGCCACAUUGGGACUGAGACACGGCCCAGACUCCUACGGGAGGCAGCAGCU
rnacentral:rRNA from 1 species